rnacentral:lncRNA from 1 species
CGCCGCUGUUUGGAUAUAACUAUGGAUUAUUUUGAACCAAACCAACAUUUGUUAUUGAAGUAGAAGUCCUGGGAGUGCAUUCUGACGAAGACAGCAAAGGGGACGCGCUGCUGUAACUGGCAAGCUGCCUUUCCAGAACACGUGCUGAUGCUAUAACUAGUAAGUUGAUUCUCUUCUUUCUUCAUUCGCGUAUCAUCAGAUCUACAUGAAUCACGUGAGACUGAAUGUCAACAAGGUCCAGGAGAAACAGGAGAGCUACCAGAGGAGAAUCAAGACCAAGUUCUUUGACAUCCGGGCGAAUGACUUGGUUUGGAAGAAGGACCAAAGAAAGGCGAGACCUGGGAAAACUUUCUGCUCUUUCGCUCCUAGCUGGGGUCACCAUCUAUUAAAUUAAGGAGUGGUGGUAGGAGUCAGGCGCAGAGAGCAGAGGAGCUAGGGGUUCAGCCUAACACCCAGAUGAGGAUCCACCUGAUGUCCUCCAUUACCAACCACCCUCCAACUUUUCAUUAUAUAAUCUACAGCUACUCUUAUUGGCAUUAUCUGCUAAGAAAGCUUGCUUGCUUUAUCAUACUGGGCCAUAAUACUGUAUGUGAGAUACACAGAUGCACUAAAAACACUAGCACUGCAAACACUCAGAAUGAAGAGAGCAGCAGUGCCUGGACUUCAAAGUCUCCUUCUUCAAGUCCUCCUACCAAGACUGGCUGCCUGUUGAGAACAAGUGACAGGCAGAACCACCCACCCACACAGCACCCUACUCCUCUCUAUUCCACACACCAUAAUUGAGUAUUUGAGUCUAUGAUUUCCAUGUGAG